CUGUUCUAUGCAGAAACAACAUGCUGGCUGAAGUGGUGGAGAAACUGAAGAAGACUGAAGUCCAAGAUGUGGAGUGUGAUUUCUGCACCGGGAGAAAACACAAAGCCGUCAAGUCCUGUCUGAUGUGUUUGGCUUCAUUUUGUGAAACUCAUCUGAAACCUCAUCUUGAAGUUCCUGCUUUGAAAAAAACACAUUAAUUGAAGCCUCAGCAAAACUCCAAGAGAAGAUCUGCUUUGAACAUAACAAGCUGAUUGAGAUCUACUGUCGUACUGAUCAAGCCUGCAUCUGUUAUUUGUGUAUGUUGGAGAAACAUAAAGACCAUGAUGCUGUUUCAGUUGCAACAGAAAGAGCUGAGAAACAGAGUGAGUUAAAGGAGGAGCAGAUGAAAUCCCAGCAGAGAAUCCAGGAGAAGCAGAAGGUGGUGCAGGAGCUGAAACAGGCUGUGAACACUAUAAAGCUCAGUGCACAGACAGCAGUGGAGGACAGCGAGAGGAUCUUUACUGAGCUGAUCAGCUCCAUGGAGAAAAAGCGCUGGGAGGUGACGGAGCUGAUCAGAGAUCAGGAGAAGGCUGAACUGAGUCGAGCUGAACGAGUCCUGGAGCAACUGGAGCAGGAGAUUGCUGAUCUUCAGAGGAGAGUCACUGAACUGGAGCAGCUUUCACACACACACAAUCACAUCCAUUUCCUCCAGGUUUUAGCUUCUGGACGUCGCUCUCCUCAACUUCAAAGACCAGAUUUUCACACAUCCAGCGUCACUGUCCAUCAACAUCUCUCAUUUGAUGGAGUGAGGAAUUCUCUCUCAGAUCUGAAAAAGAGACUCGGGGAAUUCUGUGAGGAGGAAUUCAGCAAAAUCCCUCCACAUGAGCUACUUUCUCUUGUGCAAGGCGCCGUUCACAUUCAGCUUUCCCAGGAACACGACACGUGGUAAUGAACGCCAUCAUAUGCUUUUCAACGGCAGCGAUCUCCUCCUUAUUCCACAACCUCCUCGUCACUGACAACUUCAUUUAUACAAAGCAAAUUAGAGGGAGGGGGAGAGACCUGGAAGUGGCCCUCGUUCAAAUUUUCAAGCCAAGUCCACUGUCUUCUCAAUCCUACUGACUGCAGCUUUAAAGGUUACAUGUCACUCCUGAGAUGCGAGUGAUGUUGGCGUCUCCUGCUCUCCAGACCUGACUGAUCCAUUCUGAUGCUCUACUUCUAGCUGAGGUUCUCAUGACUUGGCUCCUGUGGAGGACGGCCCCAAAUAAAGACAGCACAAACAUACACUUAGAAGAUGGCUCAGGACACUUAAUACAAACGAUUUUACUCAGAUUGUUUCGGACUACAAUCACCCUGACAACUUUAGGACUGAAUUUCUAUUAAUUCACACAAAGCCCUCACAUUAUCUCACCAUGGGUGCCCCCAGGGGGGGAAAGGUUAGAACAAUUCUAGGGGCCUAGCACUGCCAUGAGGCCCUUCAAGGGGCUGAUAAUAUGCUUUUAAUGAUUUUAAUAAGACUUUUGAAAUAACAACAAUGCAAUAUUCCAUCUGGUAAAAUGAGCUAAUUGAACAAGGUUGUC